ACCUCGGCGGUGCAAUGGAAAGCACGGCAGACCGGAUAUCUGUAAGUGCGGGUACGAGUCCCGCCUGAGAUG
rfam:Dictyocaulus viviparus strain HannoverDv2000 D_viviparus-1.0_Cont370.1, whole genome shotgun sequence.